UACGAAGGGUGCAAGCGUUACUCGGAAUUACUGGGCGUAAAGCGUGCGUAGGUGGUUUGUUAAGUCUGAUGUGAAAGCCCUGGGCUCAACCUGGGAAUUGCACUGGAUACUGGCAGGCUAGAGUGCGGUAGAAGAUGGCGGAAUUCCCGGUGUAGCAGUGAAAUGCGUAGAGAUCGGGAGGAACAUCUGUGGCGAAGGCGGCCAUCUGGACCAGCACUGACACUGAGGCACGAAAGCGUGGGGAGCAAACAGG
rnacentral:rRNA from 1 species